UCCCGGGGGGCCAUCGAGGCAAAGCUCACUGCAUUUCCAUCUAUUUUUCCUGCUGGGAGCGUGGCCCUCAGGAAGCUGGGGGGAGCGUAGGAGGCCUGGAGAGCCGGAUGCUGCCGGAGCCCCCAGGAACGUCCACCCAGGUCCUGCGCCAGCUGUUUCCAGGGACCACCAGCUGCUAAUCCAUCACCAGCUUCAGCAGCAGCUGGAGUGACUCCCUGGUGGGCCCAGCCCUCGGGAUUUGGGAACAGUCACGCCGAGCCUCCUGGGAGCACGGCGCCCUCUCACGGAGACGCAGGUGUUACGUAGACGGAAGCGCACUGUAUGUGCCCUUCUGAGGCUGGCUUCUUUCCCGCAGUGUGACGCCCCCAAGGGGCCCCCGCGGCCUUCCCUUGUUGCCCAGGGUGCCCCACAGCGUGAUGGCCUCCGCGUUUGGUAGCUAGUCACCUGCCGUAGGGCACUUCUAGCGAGCACAUGGCUGUGUGUACCUGUGGACAGUCAUUUCCACUGGAACUGAGGAAGCUGUGGACACUUUUGGUUGGAAACGCGGUCUUCCUGCCCCAGGCAGCUGCCUCCAGGUUCCCUGUGUGCCCCAGCCCUCCGCAGGCUGAGUUCAAAGUCGGUCUUUGUUUCCGCAAAUAUGUUUAUUUGAAUAUGGGACAUGGGACCAAAACGUUGCUGUUCAGAUCUGAAAAGACCUGGUAUAUUUGCCCGUUUUCCGCGCGAGAAACGGUGUUAGGAAGGCAGCGGAGGCUCCCGCGCUGGCAAGUGUCUAUGGAGGCCCCAGGCAACCGCGUGUGCGUCUGCAAACCCACGCAGGUCGCUGGAAGGCGCGGGCACGAGGCGUGCCACGCCGCCCGGAGGGGCGCGCACGGCCGGAGCACGCCUUUGCCGGUCUGUGUCCCUGUUUUCUGUCCUCCUGAAGGCGUUGGUGUGCUUUCCAAGUGCCCCCCAUCUGCCCCCCACGAAUGCUUUAACCAGAUGAUGGUAAGAGUACUGGCUUCUCACAGUUUCCCCCAAGAGUCGGUUUUUGAGCCCCAACAGCCCGCAGCCUUUCCCCCCAAGGCGUCAGCUUGGGCGCCUGUUCGCUGCGUCUGUGUGUCUCUGAGCCACGUGGGCUGCGUGCCCCUCCCACCAGUUUAUCUACCAGGGGACUCGGAGUUCAAGGCCAUGGAGGGCUCCCCCACCCACUCCCAUCUGCAGGGAGCACUGGCUCUUGGUCUCGUGACUUAAAAAGAACAAAAUUGGGGAAUUUUAAUUUUUAUUGUUAUUUUCUAGUUUUAUUAAUUUUGACCAGAGUAAGAUUUAUACUGCUUUUCUGUUUUGAGUCUUAUUGAGUUAUUUUUCUUUAAGAGUCAAUGUGGGGAGGCCGGCGGCCCCAUGGGCCCUGAGAAGGUAUGCUUGUGU